AUGGAGUUCUCUUGGCAGGAAUCCAUGCAUGGGUCUUGAAAAGCAUGGAAUUUGGAGUAAGGAGCUUCAACCCUUCCUCCAAAUUCAUCAGUUUUCUAUGCUUAGCCAAUUCACUCUGUUAAUCUGUUUUUAAGUGACGUUUACAUAUUAAAACGUCGCUAAAUUUAGCGGAGCUAGCUUUUGGCUAAAUCAUAGCAGACCGGCAAGUCACAGUUCGGCAAUGGGGACUCAGAUAUGAGUCUU
rnacentral:sRNA from 1 species